rnacentral:rRNA from 1 species
GACGAACGCUGGCGGCGUGCUUAACACAUGCAAGUCGAACGGAAAGGCCCUGCUUUUGUGGGGUGCUCGAGUGGCGAACGGGUGAGUAACACGUGAGUAACCUGCCCUUGACUUUGGGAUAACUUCAGGAAACUGGGGCUAAUACCGGAUAGGAGCUCCUGCUGCAUGGUGGGGGUUGGAAAGUUUCGGCGGUUGGGGAUGGACUCGCGGCUUAUCAGCUUGUUGGUGGGGUAGUGGCUUACCAAGGCUUUGACGGGUAGCCGGCCUGAGAGGGUGACCGGCCACAUUGGGACGGAGAUACGGCCCAGACUCCUACGGGAGGCAGCAGGGGGGAAUAUUGCACAAUGGGCGGAAGCCUGAUGCAGCAACGCCGCGUGCGGAGGACGGCCUUCGGGUUGUAAACCGCUUUCGCCUGUGACGAAGCGUGAGUGACGGUAAUGGGUAAAGAAGCACCGGCUAACUACGU